rnacentral:tRNA from 1 species
GACUCAGUGGUUCAAUGGUAAGGCGCUAGUCGCGGAGCCGGAGGUCCCUAGGUUCGAUCCCCAACGGGGUCG